AAUACGUGGCAUACGGCUCAGUAACACGUAGUCAACAUGCCCAGGGGACGUGGAUAACCUCGGGAAACUGAGGCUAAACCGCGACAGGCCAAGAUUUCUGGAAUGGAUCAUGGCUUAAAUCUAUAUGGCCCCUGGAUUGGACUGCGGCCGAUCAGGCUGUUGGUGAGGUAAUGGCCCACCAAACCUGUAACCGGUACGGGCUCUGAGAGGAGGAGCCCGGAGAUGGGCACUUAGACAAGGGCCCAGGCCCUAUGGGGCGCAGCAGGCGCGAAACCUCUGCAAUAAGCGAAAGCUUGACAGGGUUACUCUGAGUGAUUUCCGCUAAGGAAGUCUUUUGGCACCUCUAAAAAUGGUGCAGAAUAAGGGGUGGGCAAGUCUGGUGUCAGCCGCCGCGGUAAUACCAGCACCCCGAGUGGUCGGGACGAUUAUUGGGCCUAAAGCAUCCGUAGCCGGUCCUGCAAGUCCUCCGUUAAAUCCACCCGCUCAACGGUUGGGCCGCGGGGGAUACUACAGGGCUAGGAGGCGGGAGAGGCAAGCGGUACUCGAUGGGUAGGGGUAAAAUCCACUGAUCCAUUGAAGACCACCAGUGGCGAAGGCGGCUUGCCAGAACGCGCUCGACGGUGAGGGAUGAAAGCUGGGGGAGCAAACCGGAUUAGAUACCCGGGUAGUCCCAGCUGUAAACGAUGCAGACUCGGUGAUGGGCUGGCUUCGUGCCAACCCGGUGCCGCAGGGAAGCCGUUAAGUCUACCGC
rnacentral:rRNA from 1 species